UGGCUCAACUUCAUUAACUAGAAGGACUCGCUGAUUUAAAAGAAAACCAAGAAACCAUAGUUGAGAUGAAAAGGGAUUCUAAAAUUAAGACUAAAUGAGAUCCAACAUAUACCUGUUCCAGAAUUUGCCUUGGCCUAAAGCGAAGCUCACUAGCCCAAAGGACGCUUCAGGGUUGCCAAAUAUUGGAUCACACGGCUAACCCUUUUUGGGCUCGAACAUGAGGCCCAAAUUCUCAGGGUGUGUCGCUCAAUUAGAUAUCAAAGACAAAUAAGCAUUACAAAUCUGAGAAUGAUAUCAACAAUUGUAUUAAUAAUUAGAGACGUUGGAAACUUGACGGGAACCAAAUAAGCAUUCAUUUUUUUAAUAUUCCUUUUAAAUUCCAACAACUUUAAGCAUUAAUUAAAAAAGUACUAGCAGUAGGCUUUUUAUUGAACCUUGGGGUUAAAAAAACACAUUCAUGGUUGAGCCAUCAUAUCCAGAUAAAGAGAGGUGAGCAGUGUCAAAUUUCACACCACGUCAACCUAACACUUUCAUUUACUAUUUAUCCGCACAUUAAAUGCUGGCACACUAAUGAAACAAUUAACUAUAUGAUCACAUUUCCCAUUGACAUGGAUUCUGUACAAACAUGCUCAUUUCAACGAUAUGAACAUCGAGACUAGAUGUAUAUCCUUGUGGACUCAUACGAGUUCAAAUACCAAGCAUUUAAAAGAUCUUUACUACACAUAUGGUACUUCUCUAUGAACAAUCAAACCAAUUUAUAACACAAUAGAAUAAACAGAUAGAAGAAACAUCAUGCAAUUAACCUAAGCAAGACAGAUUUUCGGAAGUGCAAAAAUAGACCAAAUAGAUAUAUCAAUAAAGACCUCCAUUAAAAUGCAUUAUCCUUCAUAUUUAUCCAUUCUCAUACAUUGCGGAAUGAAAUGAGUACCAGGAAAUUGUACAAAAGAACCAGAAGUAAGACAGUAAGCAGCAGCUCAGGUUCAACAGGAUCAGCUCAACACAAGGAAAUGAGAAACAGCAAAAUCACACUUAAACCAACACCAACAGCUUCUUAGAACACUCAAUUUCAAACCAUAUUGAAAAAUCAGAGAGAAUCCGAGAUUUGUUUUCAAAAUUAGAACCCCAAAAGACCACAACCAGCCAAUAGAAUAGUAUUCCUUCAAAGUUUAACCUUCUCUUGGGAUUUCUUCCACUCUUAAAUCCGAGGCAAGAAGUAAAAGCUAUACAAAAAAAUUUUGUAUUUUUCUAGGUUUUCAGUUCUUCAAAUCUAUGAAAUAGUAAAAAAAAACUCAACCGUUUAUAUUUUUCUAGUUUUUUAGCUCUCUCAUUUUUGCCUUGAAAGGCAAGAAUGAUACCUUUUAUAGUCUCAACCAUGGGGCAGCCCUCACGACUGUUUAUUUACCCUUUACCCCCUUUUGAGUUCUUGUUUUAGCUUAAGAGUCCCUAGAGUUCUGACUUUCCAUCCAAGUUAAAUAACUAAAAACCCAGAAAUUUCACAAAAAUCCCCACUAGAAACUUCUGAAAUCAGUCCCCCAUGUUAGAUUAACUAUACUACCCCCAAGCAAUUGUUAUUUACAUUCAGAAGUCACGACUGGAUCACUUUGACCCAAAACCCCAAACCCAAACCCCUGGGCCUGCAUACCCUAGCCCAAACUUACAAACUUAAAACCAUUCAUCAACGAGCCUAGAGGCUCAAAUUAAUAAGGUUGCUUGGGCCAAACGAAAGACAGAGAAAAAUAAACAAUAGAGAAGGAAAAGAACUUAGUCAAAGAACUCAAAUGAUUCAAGUAAAACAAAUAACAAUGAGGGAACACUUAACCCAAAAGCAUUUGUGUUAAAAUCGUAAUUCAUCAAUCUUGAAAGAAAAGGAAAAGGAGGCAAAGAAAAGAAGGGGAACAAUUAGACAAACGGAGAAACUAAGGGAUAUUGGAAUACCUAAAAAAAUGCGAAGAACGACUCAAGCUAAUCGAACCCCGGCUCCUCUAGUUCAACAAAAAAUGGGUGUUAACCGACUGUUCUUGUGAGAACAGUCGACUGACACUCAUUUCAAGCCCAAACAUUCUUCAAAACGCAAGGACAUGCACCCAGGCCUUUGCAUGACGUGUUCAAGACUGGUAUGGAUUUAGGGCUAUAAUUUUAGAUCUAAUGUUCGAGACGUUUCAACUGGAUUUGAUGAACGCUGGUUUGAGAUUUGGGGAGAGGGAAUCACGGUGAGUCCAUGGUGUAUUUUGGGGGGGGGGGGUUGGUCAUCAAUCUUGAAAGAAAAGGAAAAGGAGGCAAAGAAAAGAAGGGGAACAAUUAGACAAACGGAGAAACUAAGGGAGAUAGAAAUACCUAAACAAAAAUGGAGAAGAAAGACUCAAGCUAAUCGAACCCCGGCUCCUCUGAUUUGAACCAAAAAUGGGUGCUAACCGACUAUUCUUAUGAGAACAGUUGACUAACACUCGUUUCAUGCCCAAAUUGUCUUUAAAAUAGGAGGACAUGCACCCGGGCCCUUGCAUGAUGAGUUCAAGACUGGAAUGGAUUUAGGGCUGGAAUUUUAGAUCUAAUGUUCGGGAUGUUUUAACUGGAUUUGAUGAAAGAUGGUUUGAGAUUUAGGGAGAGGGAGUCACGGUAAGUCCAUGGUGUAUUUUUGGUAGGGUUUGGCGGUGGCGACGCCGGGUUUGGUGUGGUGGAGAUGAAGGGUGCUUAUCUAAGGUUUGGAUUUUGGGGGUUCUCUAAAAUGACGAGAUGAAGGAGAUGA
rnacentral:lncRNA from 1 species